rnacentral:rRNA from 1 species
ACCUUCGGGUCGUAAACUCCUUUCGAUCGAGACGAAUGGCUUCCGGGCUAACAUCCUGGGAGAACGACGGUACCGAGAGAAGAAGCCCCGGCUAACUCCGUGC